rnacentral:rRNA from 1 species
GCCGUUCAAUACUGCGAAACUUGAGGGCAGCAGAGGGAGGUGGAAUUCCCGGAGUAGCGGUGAAAUGCGUAGAUAUCGGGAGGAACACCAGUGGCGAAGGCGGCCUCCUGGGCUGCUCCUGACGCUGAAGGCGAAAGCUAGGGGAGCGAACGGGAUUAGAAACCCCGGUAGUCCUAGCCGUAAACGAUGGAUGCUAGGUGUGGGGGGUGUAGAUUCCCUCCGUGCCGCAGUUAACGCGUUAAGCAUCCCGCCUGGGGAGUACGGCCGCAAGGCUAAAACUCAAACGAAUUGACGGGGGCCCGCACAAGCAGCGGAGCGUGUGGUUUAAUUCGAUGCUACACGAAGAACCUUACCUGGGCUUGACAUGCAGGUAGUAGUGAAGUGAAAGCGGAUCGAUCCUUCGGGGAGCCUGUACAGGUGCUGCAUGGCCGUCGUCAGCUCGUGCCGUGAGGUGUCGGGUUAAGUCCCGUAACGAGCGCAACCCUUGCUCUUAGUUAUACGUGUCUAAGAGGACUGCCGGCGGUAAGCCGGAGGAAGGUGGGGAUGACGUCAAGUCAGCAUGGCCUUUAUGUCCAGGGCUACACACACGCUACAAUGGCCGGUACAAUGGGUAGCUAAACCGCGAGGUGGAGCCAAUCCUGUAAAGCCGGUCUCAGUUCGAAUUGCAGGCUGCAACUCGCCUGCAUGAAGUCGGAGUUGCU